rnacentral:rRNA from 1 species
GCACUCCCGGGGCGUCUCUAUCUCAUCGCGAGAGGAGGCGCACCUAGAGCGUACACGCUGAUACCCGAAAGAUGGUGAACUAUGCCUGGCCAGGACGAAGCCAGGGGAAACCCUGGUGGAGGUCCGCAGCGAUUCUGACGUGCAAAUCGAUCGUCGGAGCUGGGUUUAGGGGCGAAAGACCAAUCGAACCAUCUAGUAGCUGGUUCCCUCUGAAGUUUCCCUCAGGAUAGCUUGCGCUCGGACGAAACGAGUCUCAUCCGGUAGAGCGAAUGAUUAGAGGCCUUGGGGUCGAAACGACCUCAACCUAUUCUCAAACUCCAAAUAGAUGAGAACCCCGGCUUUCUUGAACUUUGUUUAUGAAGCCGGGGGCUUGGAUCAGAGUGCCAAGUGGGCCAAUUUUGGUAAGCAGAACUGGCGCUGUGGGAUGAACCAAACGCGGAGUUAAGGCGCCUCAAUCGACGCUCAUGUGAAACCAUGAAAGGCGUUGGUUGCUUAAGACAGCAG